UGGGGGAUAUUGCACAAUGGGCGAAAGCCUGAUGCAGCGACGCCGCGUGGGGGAUGAAGGCCUUCGGGUUGUAAACUUCUUUUGCUCUGAACAAGGCAUGCCUUUGUGGCGUGUUGAGUGUAGGGGUUGAUUAGCGCCGGCUAACUACGUGCCAGCAGCCGCGGUAAUACGUAGGGCGCGAGCGUUGUCCGGAAUUAUUGGGCGUAAAGGGCUUGUAGGUGGCUGUUUGCGUCUGUCGUGAAAGCUCAUGGCUUAACUGUGGGUGUGCGGUGGGUACGGGCUGGCUUGAGUGCAGUAGGGGAGGCUGGAAUUCCUGGUGUAGCGGUGGAAUGCGAAGAUAUCAGGAGGAAUACCGGUGGCGAAGGCGGGUCUCUGGGCUGUUACUGACGCUGAGGAGCGAAAGCGUGGGGAGCGAACAGG
rnacentral:rRNA from 1 species